rnacentral:lncRNA from 1 species
CAACUUUAAAUCCCAGGGAGGCUUAAAGAGAAGAUGGCCUCUUUCCAUUAUGCACUGAAGACCCAGAACUCUAACUUAGAGACCCAGAACCUGAAUAGCACUUGGAAACAUUGUAAGGAUCCAAAGGAAGAAACAUGGAUUUCAAGCAGUCCUGUUAUUCAAAAAGGCAAGAAGAAAGGUGGAGAAGAAAAGGAUAGUACUUAAAAGAAAGAAAAGCCUUUCUCAGAAAUUUCCAGAAGAUUCUUACUGACACUGCAAAGGUCAGAAUACUGCACAGCGGUCUAUCUGUAAGAAAACUCUGGUAAGGCAAGGCUUUCA